GGUUUUCUGAUUUUAAUUUAAAAUCGGGCCUGCCCGUUGAUUAAAAAGAUUGAAAGGCUGCGGUAUUUUAACUGUACGAAGGUAGCAUAAUCACUUGUCUUUUAAUUGGAGGCUAGUAUGAAUGGUUUGAUGAAAGAUUUUCUUUCUUUAUUCAAUUUUUUUGAAUUUAAUUUUUUAUUUAAAAAGUUGAAAUUUUUUUAUAGGACGAGAAGACCCUAUAGAAAUUUAUUUCUUUUAUAAAUUUUUCUUUUUGGUUAUUAAAAGAUUUAUUUAGAAUGAGAAAUUUUGUUGGGGUGACAGUAAAAUUUUUUUAACUUUUAUUUUUUUUUUCAUUUAUUUAUGUUUUUGAUCCGAUUUUAUCGAUUAAAAGAUUAAUUUACCUUAGGGAUAACAGCGUUAUUUUUUCGGAGAGUCCUCAUCAAUGAAGAAGUUUGCGA
rnacentral:rRNA from 1 species